CCCCCCCCCCCGGACACCCAACUACAACCACCAUGUGGCGAAUCAAGAGCAAUUUAAAGGAGGUACAGCUCCUUUAAAAAAGAAUACAACCUCCCCUAGCGGAUAACUACCCAACUGACCCUAGACUGUAGGCCCUCAAGCAGCCAUCAACAAAGAAUGCGUCAAAGCUCUACCCCAAAAAAAUUCAAAAACAACAGGACUCCCUUAUCUAUAACGGGCCAACCUAUAACAAUAGGAGAAUCAAUGCUAAAAUGAGUAAUCAGGGACCACCCUCUCAAGCGCAAGCUUACAUCACCACAUUAUUAACAAGCCUCAAACUAAUACCCCCAACCCCAAACAAGCCAAAUAUUAAACUUGCCCUGUUAGCCCAACUCAGGAGCGCCCAUUAGAAAGAUCCAAAUCUGCAAAAGGAACUAGGCAACCUCAAGGCCCGACUGUUUACCAAAAACAUAGCCUUCAGCCAGCCAAGUAUUGGAGGUGAUGCCUGCCCAGUGACACUCUGUUCAACGGCCGCGGUAUCCUAACCGUGCGAAGGUAGCGCAAUCAAUUGUCCCAUAAAUCGAGACUUGUAUGAAUGGCUAAACGAGGUCUUAACUGUCUCUUGCAGACAAUCAAUGAAAUUGAUCUUCCUGUGCAAAAGCAGGAAUAAACCCAUAAGACGAGAAGACCCUGUGGAACUUAAAAAUCAGCGGCCACCCCACACAACCCAAAACCUACCAGGCCUACGACCCCAAGUAAAACACUGGCCCGCAUUUUUCGGUUGGGGCGACCUUGGAGAAAAGCAGAUCCUCCAAAAACAAGACCACACAUCCUGACCAAGAACAACCCCUCAACGUACCAACAGCAACCAGACCCAAUAUAAUUGAUCAAUGGACCAAGCUACCCCAGGGAUAACAGCGCAAUCCCCUCCAAGAGCCCAUAUCGACAAGGGGGUUUACGACCUCGAUGUUGGAUCAGGACACCCUAAUGGUGCAGCCGCUAUUAAGGGUUCGUUUGUUCAACGAUUAACAGUCCUACGUGAUCUGAGUUCAGACCGGAGCAAU
rnacentral:rRNA from 1 species